ACACAAAGGUCUUUGCUCACAAUGCAUUUUCACAGUGAAAAAUAUAAACCUCCUGUUUGAGGUUUCAAUCCUUUUUUCCUGCUUUUUCUUUUUCCUUCUUUACGUAUAUGUACAAACUAAUAUUGUACUUAUUUAUGUUGUUUAUUAUCUUUUACCCCCACUAGGAUGCAAAUCCCAAAAGGGACUUUUGACUCCAUGGUUCACAGCUGCAUUCUCAAAGAAUAGUGCCUGGCACUUGGCAGGCACUAACUACGUACUUAUUGGAUGCACGAACCACUGAGGCAAGAUCUGUGCUUGCUUCUACUGUGAAGCAUGAAAAGUCCUUAGUGAAUUCACCUAACCACAGGUGCUGACCAAUUUACGAGACUGAAUGAGCCGAGUUCUCAGUUAGGCUUAUAUAUUUCUAAGUCCUGGUGGGGGGAUUUGGGGAGUGAGCAGUAGAGCUGAUGGCUGAUUGCUUGCCUAGGCCACCCAAUCAAGCAUCUAUCAUCGACUGUACAUUACAGGCAUUCUGUCAUUUUUGAGAAUUGAUUAUCUCCAACUGCCAAAGCCACAGUUUGCUUAAUUACUUCUGAAGCAUUUACAAGUGUACAAUAUCUAAGGGCUUCAUAAAUCAACUAGAGGAGGAUUAGGUGCCUUCAGUGUCCCUAAACUGAUACAAUAAAUUGCUCAAAGAGGACAGAAUAAUAUGACCCAAAUUAAACAAUCCUUACUAAAAGCUUCAAGCACAGCAACCUAAGAAGAUGCAUGGCAACUGAAAUAAAUGUUUGAAGAAGGCCCAAGAGCUAUCUAUACUAGCACUUAGGGUAGUGAACUGAAAAUUCUAAUAUCGUUUGUUAACAAAGUGUUGCUAAGUGACCAAUGACAAUUUGGCCAGGUGACACCGAUCAGGUCCAUUUAGGAAAUAUGGGUAUGAUAAGCUACCAUGAUCAGAGGGGAUGGGAGACGACACAUCUUCUCUGCCACAACUUGACUGCAAUUAGUUACAGCCAGUGUAAGCUUACCUCAAAAUUCUGCCAAAAGUACCAUUGUUUUAUUAGACAGUGGGCAUGAAGAGCCCUCCAAGAGUGCCCUGCAUGAAAGGUCACCUUUAGGCACAUACAAUGAUGAUCUGACAGGGGAUAAGCCAGCUUUUAAUCAGAUCAGAGACAGACCCUGCAGAAGGGAUUCCAAGAAGAACAAGAACUCUCUAGAUUUUGAAAGCUACAUCAAAGCUUUCCAAAGCAAUAUGUCAACUGUAGCCUAAAGAUACAGAAUUUGAACGCUGGAAGACGACUCUGUGGUGACAAGGACUUUGAGGUGCCUAUGUGUUGAAGAAAGCCAGGCUGUGAGCACUGAGGAAUUCCAUCUGGCUCUGAGAACGGGCUGCACCCACAUCCCAGGAUCCCUGCUUCACUGGAAGGCCUUGGAUAUCUCUGGCUGUUUUCCAAGUAAAGCAGUUAAAAGAUGCACAUGCUUCACCAGAUUUUAGUUUGACAAAAGCAGCAGUCGAGGCGGCCAGGAAGCGAUGCUAUUAUGAAGCUUCACGAUUUCAGCUGAGACACUCAGGAGACAUUUCUUUCCUUUGACCUUCCACCUGGCUAAGUGAUAGAACUGCCAGCACAGAGCGCAGGUCAGACAUCUCUAACACUGCACAAAUAUCAUUCAAGAGCAAACACUCUGUCGCCCAACUUGAUUACAUGGAAAUUGGUUUUGUACAAUGGAAGCCUUUUUGUUCAGACCACUAUGGCCUCCUACGGUGUAACUUUCUUUACAGAGUUAAUAGACUAGGGAUGGAUUUUGAAUUUCACACACAUACACAAAAGCCUCAUUACCAUUUGCAUUUGUGCAUGGCUAACAAAAAUUAGCAGGAGCUACCGCAAAUCAUUAAAACUGAAAAAUGAAAUUGAACCGAGGUGAGAAAAGCCUGUUUUCUUAAAGCCCAUUUAGUAUGGAUUAAAGUUCAUUAUAAUAGGAUAUUCCAACCUACAAAGAAUAAUUGGGCUUUCUUUUUCAGAUGUUCAGAAGAGUGGAUAUCAUCAUUGUUUAAUUUUAAAGCUCUUUUUAACAUUUGGAUAUUGGGGUGCUAAUUUGUCAAACAUUCCCCUCUAAAAAAUAAGUCUGAACUUAAAAUGUUGAUUCUAAUUAGAAGUGAAUCAGAAAUAUUUUUCAGGCAGGAGAAUAAGAAGUCAUGAAGAUAAAGGAAGGGAUAUAGAAAAACCAUGUGUGCCUAAUUUCUCCAAGCGAAUGUAUCAUAGAAAUUCUUACCUGCCCUCAGUGGGCCCAGAGGUUACCUUAGCCCUCACUCCAUCUCCCAGAGACUUUGGACUGCCUUUCCAUCUCUUCCAUCCUCUCCAUUCAAACCCCACACCUCUGACCCCCUCAAUGUUCCUCGUUCCUGGCCAGGCGUGGUGGCUCAUGCCUGUAAUCCUAGCACUCUGGGAGACCGAGGCAGGUGGA